CCCUCGCCGAUCGGACGGCACCUUCUCAUCCUCACCGAUUACCCCGCUGGGCUCCUAUCCGCGCCCACCCCGAUCGACGCGUUCCCCGACUCCUCUCGCGCCCACCACCGCCGCGGCUGCGGGAUCGGCGUCCGAUUCACGCGUGCCUUCCGCGCCACCGAGCCGUGCGGUGCAGCCGCUCGCUCUCGCGGGUGAUCCUGCGCGGCCCGGUCCUGCACUGGAUGGAACGCGCCGAAGCGUGGGCUGCCAUUGCCCUGGCCUCGGACGCGUGAUUCACGCAGGCGAAGUCGUCUGCUCUCACGAGGGCGCGGUUCUGUACGGCACUGGGAUUGAUUUCAGGGCAUGAUGCAUCAGUGACGAAUCUCUAGUUCAAAGCUGCUCAGUUAUGCAAUCUGCACAGGUUAGGGUGAAUAACGUGAGUUGACGCCUCGAUUCAGAUGGGUGAAAAUUUCAGUCCCCGGGCUGCAAACAGUGGGGAAAGUCAUCACAAGGUUUGUACUUCUUUAAGUGCCCUUGGGAACAACAUGUCAACUCAUUCAGUCUGCAAAGUUCCCUUUUCUUUUUGGAACACUCAUGGUUAAAUAUUUCAGUAGCUUAAUACAAUGAAUGCAUGGAAUGGUGUUUGGUGUUCCUAAAUGGAUGUGUGUUGUUCAUGAUGUUGUCCAGCACUGAUGUUCUCAUGAUGGUGCUCAUUAAAAAAAACAAUCUUAAAUGGCUAAUCCUUUUGUGGCAAAAUUGUUUACCAAGUUUACUUAGAAACUAAUGUUCAAAUUGGUAAAAUUCCUUUUCAUAUUCCAUUGUAUACUACUCCCUCCGUCCCAUAGUAUAAGAGCAUUUUUGACAGUACACUAGUGUGAAAAACGCUCUUAUAUUAUGGGACGGAGGGAGUAUUACAUUUGAAUGCAUUCAUGCAGAAACUAUUUGUAGUUGUACCAGUGUGUGCUUCUGCUAUCUUACCUAUAUAAUGUUUCUUGGGAAUUAAUAUAUGUGCCCAUUCUCUCACCUCAUGUAACUUUUGCUACAUUAUAUUCCAGUUCUAUUUUUCACUUAGAGAGCCAUUGUCAUCCUUCAUGUUUGGGUCUAUGAACUAAGGACUAAGUAAUGUUUGUGCUAGUUUAUUUCAUUGCUAUUGUACAUGUGACCAAACUUUAGUACUGGAGACACGAAACAUUUUCCCAUCUAGAAAUAUUUACCAAAAAAGGAAAAUGAAAGGAGAGUAGCAGCAAAUAGAUGUGUGACUUGCACAUUGGAUUCCAUGAGUUGAGGCAGUAAGUAGCAUGUGUCCAAGGUAUAUUUUUGGUGUCUUGUGAGCAUACAUGGUACUUUCUGUACCAAUAGUGUAUUUCCACAAACGGCUCAUAUAUAUGUUUGUUUUGCCAGACCAUGAGAAUGAAUAUUUUUUGAGAAAACGCAAGAGAGAUUGCGUUUCAUUGCACUGAAAAGAGGGAGUUUGGGUUUUACAAUGCUCGUGAGCACAUCAAUGAACGUCCCAUGUUUGGGGUGUGAUGGCACGAAGCCCUAAAGCACCGGUGCUGGCCCAAAGGGCGGCCUCAUCCUUGAUCUUGGAUGGAACACCAGUUGCUGUAGACGGGCCGCACACGCAUCACAUCGGUCGUCCGACUCCAGUGUACGGCACAAGGCACAUGGGCGCCUGUCCUCGCGGAGCACGGCCAUUACAGGCUCAUGCUGAAACUAAGGGUGGAAGAAAAGGCAGAUGGCUGUUUCUCCGGCCGGCCGGGCAGCCACGUUCCAGGGCGAUGGGGAUUCUGCUGCGCCAAUGUGGGUGCUAUCACAUGGAAAGAUCCUGUGUCCAUAUCAAGAUAUCAUGCAUGCCACUGCUGGAGAUCGUUAGUGUCUUUCCAAGACUAGAGAAGAAUAACACUCGGCAUCAGCUGUAAACGAAGCCACAUAAUGAUUGGUCAUCGUUAGUUAUAAGCUGUGUGACCAGCACUGUAGCACAAAUGACGAUACAUAGUUUGAUUUGUUGUGUGCGUAGGCCGCGGGAGAUCAUUCCUCUGUUGUCGGAAAAGAUGGUUUAAUUUCAUGUGCUAUUUGCCAUGCAUCAGACUAGAACUUGAAGUAGUGGCCCAAGAACUUGGAGUAUUUAUCAGGAGCACUUGAAGAAUGUGUGGCUGUUGGUUAGGACAUGCAAGUUGGUACAUACGUGUUUAUAUGUGUACGUACGUAGGACCGAGUACUCACGCCUUGUUUACGUGGAAAUUUUAAAGCUGUUCACGGCAUGGCAGUGUGAAUGUGGAACCAGUUGUUGCGUGUAUAAAUUCAAGAUCUAGCA